rnacentral:rRNA from 1 species
AGGCAACCUGCCUCUAAGACCGGGAUAACAUGCGGAAACGGAUGCUAAGACCGGAUAGUCAACAGGCCCGCAUGGGCGAGUUGGGAAACACGGUGCAAGCUGUGGCUUGGAGAUGGGCCUGCGGCGCAUUAGCUAGUUGGUGGGGUAACGGCUCACCAAGGCGACGAUGCGUAGCCGACCUGAGAGGGUGAACGGCCACACUGGGACUGAGACACGGCCCAGACUCCUACGGGAGGCAGCAGUAGGGAAUCUUCCACAAUGGGCGCAAGCCUGAUGGAGCAACGCCGCGUGAGUGAGGAAGGCUUUCGGGUCGUAAAGCUCUGUUGCCAGGGAAGAAUAAGCGUGAUUUAACUGAUCACGCGAUGACGGUACCUGAGAAGAAAGCCCCGGCUAACUACGUGCCAGCAGCCGCGGUAAUACGUAGGGGGCAAGCGUUGUCCGGAAUUAUUGGGCGUAAAGCGCGCGCAGGCGGUUCUUUAAGUCUGGUGUCUAAGUGCGGGGCUCAACCCCGUGAUGCACUGGAAACUGGGGAACUUGAGUGCAGAAGAGGAGAGCGGAAUUCCACGU